CUACAAACUGCUUGUUGGCUUCCAUCAACAUCAAACAACAGUCGAUUCUAAAUCAUAAAACUCAAUAUGUAUCAUGGUAUGAUCAAUGUGCUGAUUACAUCCAUGACACUGCUGCCCACUCAAAGCCUCAUAUUCAGUUUGAGCUGAGUGUUCAUCCAUAGAUCCGAGAUCACCUUUUUGUAAUUCACAGACUUGGGAAUUUCCUUCACAUAGUACCCAAAAUGCAUUUCAGCCUCCUAAGCUAAAGCCUCCGAGUUGCUGUGAGCAUCAAACACAACAUCUUGCUUCUGAAAGUGAUUUUACAAACCCCGGGUCCCGUGCAGCCAAAUCAAUGGAAAUUGUUUUUUUCCUUCUGGAAUUUUGUCAUAACGUCCCCAACUGUUUUCAGACCAGCCAUCAAAGGCUCGACUCGACUCGCAGACAUGUAUAGACAGCCACUCAGAGCUGACACGGGGAGGAGGCUUUGAACGUAUGAGAUUGACACUAUUGUGGUCACAAAGCACAACAGGAAACGACUUUGAAGGGGAAAGCGCGCUCUGUAUUGGAUUUCACUUUCGAAAUGGUGGCCGGAGACGGGCCCAAGUAUCAGGCGCGUUGGAUUGGUGUAACAUAAAACACGGAAACCAGACACGGGCGCCGCACGCCACUUCUGCAGUGUCCAAAACAGAAGUGUGAGGAGGUCCAAACUUUUGGUAAACCGCGGAUGAAUACACGCUGAAUCUUUUCUUAAAUCGGAGAUUUGUUGCACACCGUCUCUUCCUUCUGUAUCUUGGGACGUCGCUGGCUUGUGAUGCCAAUGAAAAGUUGACAAUAUAUCCAAGAGAGCGGUACUUUUUUGACUUCACAAAGUAAAACGUCGCCAUCAGAGCCAUGUCUUGUUGGCAGUUUGGGAAUUGAUCAGUCUCAAUCCCGAGCUGCAUGGUUGUCAACUGGCAGGUCUGCUGGAGAUGACAGAUUUUCCGACAGUGCCUUGUCAAUGGCUGCACUUGAGUGAAAUCCCCAGCCAUCUUGGCUCACCGCUGAAGUCAUAUCCAUCAUCGGAUUCUUGACAAAUUCGUCACAGCCGUCUCUCAAUCUAAUUGGUCUUUGAGGUUCCUGUAAGACAAAGACUUCUAAUCUCAGACAGAGUGUGUGUGUGUGUGUGCGUGUGUUUGAAAAGUGCUUGCCAUUGAAUACUUCUCUGCUCUUUGAGCCUGUGUUCAGCGAAGUUUGAAAUACAUGACAGUCUCAUUUUAGGUGCUCUGAUGUCACACAGUCAUUCUGGCUUAAAAGUUCACUCAAUAUGAGGUUUGGUCUACUUUGAUGUCUCUAGUGAAGCGGUUUUAGCAUGCUAUAUCUUCCGCCGCUGUUCUCUGUCACCCACUCCUGCAAAGACUGACGGGAGCUGCCGGAGAUGGGGCUCAGCCAUUUCUUCCUGGUGACUACAAACUAAAGACACGGGGAAGGUGAACUCAGGCAGCACCGUGACAAGCAGAAUGUUGCAACUUCUGCUGGAUGCAUCGUAUUAUCGAUAAAUGUUAGAAGCUUCUUCUUUUUCAAACAGCAUGCAAGACAAAGAUGUCCAGCACCUGUUAGGGGUGCAUUUUAUCAUUCAUUUACAUCAUAUAAAACACUGAUGAGAAGAGACAAAACAGAAUAACACAAGUCAUUUAUGACACACCAAAAAGUAAAACAUGUUAAAUUUGUUGUAAAAAGUUGCAAUUCGUUUAGUUCCUUCUCCUUAUGCAACAUAUACUUUUUUCUAUCUGAGGGAGAGAUUGUGGAGAGAAGGGGGGGGGGGCUACGUGAUGAAGAUCUAGUAAUCUUGUUUUAUGCUCAUGACGGCGCGAGGAGAUCCUCCGCCCCCCUGCGACGUAACGCUCACCUGAAGAACCCCCCCGGAGCUCCACGUGACUGCGCCGCCGCUCGCAUCUCCCUGUCUUGAGAAUUGGGAUUUAGUGGAGGAUUAAAGCAGAAUAUUUCAAUUUAGCGGCGGAAUUUACCUGGCUGUGCCAAAGUAAUUACCCCUUCUGGAUAAACGCUAUUGUGGAAAAACCCAUUUACGAACGGCGAAUAUAUAAACGGCUCAAAGUCAAAUGAAAAGAGGAAAUGUAAUGAAAGCAAUUUUAAAUAUCGCAAGGCAGAUGCCAGAAAUCUUAUUGUAUUACCUUAAAGUCGCGAGAGAAUGCUGCAUUCAGUGUGAAAAGACUGUGUCCACAACUGAGAGGAGAUCAUUUUUAAUCUUCUUCUUUUUUUUGAUAUUGUGAUCGUGAACAGAUAGAGGAAUAGUAUUUGAUGCGUUAAGGAAAAGCAAACAUGAGUCUGAAAUGUCUGUGAUUAAUUUGUAGCCUGAUUAUAAUUGCAAAAGAAUUCUGUGCGUCACUAUUUAGUGUAGUGAACAGGCCUCAUGUAUAACAUAUUAAAACAGAAAAAAAGAAGAGAAUGACAGCAUUUCUUUAAUUUGUACAUUUGGUAAAAUCCGUUGUGAAAACAUGAAAAACAAUUACUUGUCAAACUGAUGAAUAUGUAAAUCAUAAAUAGGAGAUAGAAAGUACGCCAGAAACAAUUAGCUAAUAAUACUUUACCCGAAUAUGCCCUAAUUUACAAUAUUAGUGCGUUUAAAGUCCUGUUUCAAAACGAAUUUCCUUCACAAGAAAACGUGACUUCUGGUGAACAAAACACGUGCAUCUAAUAUUUUAAUAAUAACGCAAUCAUAUCGAUCCUAAUUCUGCCAGUUCUGCAGAGUUGAGCCAUCGCAUUUGUUUUAGUAAGGCCUGGAAACAAUAAACCUGCACAUCACCCUUUUCCAAGCAGUUUAAUAAAUAAUAAAAUCUCAAAUUGGUAAUAAUGUAUUUUAAGAUUUGAAACCGGAAUAAGCAAUAAAUAAAUAAAUAUGCAGAUGCUAUUUGAAAAGAGAAAAUCAUGCUUUUGAUAUCUAUGCAUUAACACAUUAUCUGCAUUGAAUUCAAACUCUACGAGUGGGUCAUUUACGUUGCCUUUCAGUCAGAGAGAGAGAAAUAAAACAGUGGCGUGUCCGUCUGUCCGGGCUGAAAUGCAGGGAAGGAGACAGAGGCCCUCUGUGUGUAUAACCCGUGUAAACAGGGCCGCUCGGCAUUGUGUAAAGUGGGUGGAUUAGCCGGCGGCUUUUGUUGGACGUGGUGUGUACACACGGACGCUGAUUCAGCUCUCCUGAAGCCAUUUCGGCCCUCACAACCUUAAGGAAGUCUUGCGUUACCAAACCUUCAGCCGGAUGUGAUCUAAAUGGGUCCCCGUUGAAACGGUGUCGUCAUGAACUGAUCGCACGAGGCCCUGAGUCGGUUUAAUCGCCACCGAACCGAGACCUUUUAUUAUCGAAUCAAAAAAAGAACCCACCGACGCCUCAACGACUGAUUUGAGUGACGUGAAGUUCGUCAGUGAAAUGAGUCCGCAUGCUGAACCUCCUCCACGGCGCGCGCGCACACGUCUCAGAGCCCACCCGCCGCGCGUGCACCGCGCAUGGCGGAUAUCGAGGUGUAAAUACAAACAAUUUGCACAUUUCCUAAUAAUUGCAGUAUUUGGACCAAUUAGGCCAGAUAAUCUAACGGCUGGUUUAUUAUCUGUGGUUAAUUAAUCGUUGUAUCAAUCAUCCUAAUAAGAUCCAUCCCAAUCAAUUAAACGAGGACUUGUAAUCCUCACUGUCAAGCGUCCCCGCCUCCACGUCGGGAAAGGGAUCCUUAUUUUAAAAUUCCUUGAUUUUGCAACUUCGCAGAUGCAACGCAGUCCCCUCUUUAAUUUCAUCAACUUGUUUCUAUCCCAAACUUUUAUUGACUCUCUCCAUUUCGUGCUGCCUUAUUGUGAAUAUGAAAUUGAAGUUCUCUGAGAAGAAAGAGGAGACUCUGUUUCAUCGGGCACCAAUUAAAUCGGCCUAUAUGUAACUUCACGACACUUUGAUCAUUUUAAUGACUAAAUAAAGAAGGUCAGAAUAUUUAUAAUGAAGAAAGAGUAACCAGAGUAGCCAGGAGGCCUCAAUGUGUUAUCAGUAUUAUCAGUAGCAUCCACCUGCAUCUAGCACGGAGCCUUCCGCUCCUUUUGAAUGUUUUCGUCCAAUUGAGUUUGAAUUAUUUAAUAUGUCUAUUUAAUUUAUAAUUUGCUGCAUGAUAUUUAAAUCGAGCUGCUGAUUUAUUUAAUCGUGAAAGGUAUAUGAAACAAUGUGUAAUAAACAACACGAAGGGUACAAACGUGUGAUCAGAAUUUAUUCCAUGGUAUGAUUUUGUGUUAUUGUCCGACCCAUUGUUUCACACCUGCUUAAACCAAUAAACACAUAAAUCAUCUUCACUUCAUCCAAAUUGUGCUUGUCACCAUCUUCCUCUUCAGUGACACAAUAUAGUAAAAGGAGUAAAUAUUCGUAUUGAUGUCAUAAUUACAAUAAAACAAACGUUUUGCAUCUUUGGCUUUUCAUUGUGUAUCCGUUAGUGUCUUAAAAAUACCGUUUCCAUUAGGCUUAAGAUCGCCGACACGCACGCGCUGACUGACUUUGAUUGCGCCUAAUUGGAAAUGAUUUGCGUCAUCGCGUCUGUUUGUGGGUGAAUCUGCUGAGGAUGGUUAUCAACACGUGUCGGUCGCCUCUUCAACGGGUCAUCGCAGUUUCUCCCGUUUCUUCAGACUAACCAUUCUAUUUGUGUUUGUAUUCAGAACCCAGACAGGUAAGGGAUUAGAUCCUGUCACAACAGGGAGCUUUGAACCGAACGAAGGGUUAAUUGUCUUCAACACACAAUGCGCUUGUGAAUGCGACGUUCUUCACGGCAGCGCUGUUAUUGAGAAAAAAAGCUUCCCAGAAAAGUUUGUCUUUUUCAUUUUUUUCUAAAAAUAGCAAAUAAAAGAAAGAAAGAAAGAAAAUAAUGGGAGCUUUUGUUAUUGUGAGUAUUGUAAAAAAAAAAACUGUAAAGUAAAUACGCCCCUCUCUCUACAUAUGACAGAGGGUCUUAAUUAUACAUCAGUUCAAAGACUUAAGGAUUUUGCUCCCCUAUCUGUUCCUAUGAGAUACUGACCAACAAUUAGGGGAAUAAUUCAGCAGCUAUACUUCAAAGUACAACGCUGCAUAAGUCACAGGUGCAAUAAAAAAAUGCAUCCUUGCAAUCCCAAGUUUUUAUUGCAAAAAGGGUUAGCGUUACAAUGUGGGAACCUGUCUGCUUUCCUCCCAACCGGGAUCAGUUAAGAUUCCCGUGUGCUUGUGACAAGAAGAAGAUGUCCUGCGAAAUGAAGCAGAAUCUGACAUGAAAGACUCAUCCCUGCCUCCCCUCCUUGAAUGUAAGAUAAGUACUUUGAGAGGUAUGUGCCAGAGCCACGAGGGAAUGAGCUUUACUCACAGAUGUAACACGUUUAAACCUACUGAUGCAAUGAAAGCUUUACAUUCAAUGGACAGCAAGGGAAGAUGAGUCAUGCGUAUUUUGUCUUUGAUGAACAUUAUUUGAUAAGCCAUUAGAAUGAACUGUACAAAGCUCACAUUAUAUCUCACUGGAUUCUUAGAGACACGGUCAUUUCAUUAUUUAGCGUGGAAAUGUCCAUGGAGCUAACUGCGCCUUAUUUCUGCCCGUCCCGUAGUUGUCUUUUUGUUUGACUGCGCCUCCAUGUGCCCCUGUGCCAAUGCGAGUGCGUGCCCAUAUGUGGGGGUACGAGUGCUCCACUGUUACUCUGUGCCUGUGUGUGCGCCCAUGUGUGUUGUGUGCAGCCCAUUAGUGGAGUUUAACCCCUGUGUUCAGGGAGUCACAUCCCCUCAACCCACCGGGCUCCAUUCUUACUGCAGCACGUUAACAUUUUAUUCUCCCCCCCCCUUCACUUUUGUCCUAAGAGGGCAAUUAAGGAAACAAACGUUUUCCCCAAGAUAAGCUGGCUGCCAGCUUUGCAUACUAAUGCAUUGCCAAGUGGUUACAAAUAGUGAGUGCUCUAAUUACUGCCACUGUUUUCAAUCAGAAAUUGCUCAAUUUCCCAGGAUGAGGUCUCCAUGGCUGGAGAAAAAAAAAAAAAAGAAGAAAAACCUGACAGAGACGCCGACGCGACCCCUUCCAUCGCUGCUGCCCUUGACGAGUCAAGAAAUGGAUCCUGACAGCCUCUACAGCAUUUAGCACCACAAUUAUCCCCUUUUCACAGCCUGGCUGCAUUAAUGUAAACCACACCAGGCAGUAGUUGCCACUCAGUGAUGAGCACAAUGUGGUGCAUCAUCGCUGGGUGAGCAAUUUGGUUCAAUUGUGCUGCUGUGUGAUCAUCAGUGCAAAUCACGGCCUGCUCAUUUAUUAAGCAAUUUCUGUUGGAGAAAAUUAGAAGGGAGACUCAUAAUUGGGCAGGAGAUAGUAAUACCUCUAAAAGCAACGAUAAUGGAUGAUGUGGCUGACAUCAAACAAAAGGAGCAAGCGAGUUAAGCCCGCAGCAACCCAUCAGGGAGGUGUGUAGCAUUGGGAAUGAAGCACCCCCCUUUGGUGUCCACCAGGAUUGUGUGUGUGUUUGUGUGUGGGGGGGGUGAAGGGUGAAGGGAGGGGGGGGGGGGGUGUAGCACAGACCAGAGUGACAAGGACUCACUCCCUGGAUGCGAGAACGAGUCACUCCGUAGGACGCUCGCAGGAUCCAUCCGUUGGCCUUAGCUUGACCUUUUGCUCCGACGGUGGCUAAUGGAGGGCUGGCCCUCGAUCAAUGCGCCGAGAGAUUGGGUUCGUUCCUCGUCCCCUUUCACCGGGCCGGGAGAAGGGCCGGCUGCUGCCAGGAGCCACGCCGCGAAGCCAUCGACCCCGCCGCUCUCCCAUCCUGUGGGUGACAGCUGCGGUGCCAACGAGCCCGGGGAAGCCACGCAGCCCUGCCACGUAGGAAGGACAGCCGGCGACUCCGUCUCCGUGGUGUCGGGAGGGAAAGUCACUGAUGAUCUGUUCGUGAAUGUCAGAUCUCCAUGUAAACAACCCCAGCAAACGCUUUGCUAUUGAGUAUGUGUUGAUAUGGAUGAAAACUGAAGAUUUGACUCGUCGAAGUGAUGUUUUUUAAUGCCAUUGUAUCCAGAUUUAAUAUGUGGCUCAUGAGGGUGUAAAAGUGUUUUAAAUCAGCAAACGCAAGCUUCAAAUGGACAGAUUCCAGCUGCUUGAUUUAAUAGAAGUCGAGUACAGGUGAUUACAUCUGGAUAAUACCGUUUUCAAAAGCUAAAAAAUGUUUUGUCAGUAUAAGAAUUGAUCAAAUAAAGCCUGACUCCAAGUGUUAGAAGUUGUUUGCAUUACUUUUGCACUUCAAAUGUUACCGUAGGGAAUAGCUUUCUUUUUUCUCAUGAAAGUUGCACUUUACAACCCAGAUGGUGCACCACUGUAUACCUUUAAUCUGCUCUUUUCUGUCAAUAAACAACGCCUGCAUUAAACGCACAAAACAAUAUUUACUGUGAAUUUUAAUUGCAAAUACUGCAAUUCGAACAUGUAAAGAUAUUCAAAACAAUAGCGGCAUAAUACAUUCAGUCCAUAUGGAGCGAGAGGAAGAGACAACCAAGAGGUUUCGCGCCGAUUGUUCUUUUUAUUAUCAUUAACAGUAAUGUGAUUCUGAAGCCUCCCGUGACCUCCUCACAGCAGCAUCUCAUCUCAGAAGUCAUUCAUUAGAACAAACAGAAGGCUGGCAGAAAGACUGCGAGAAAGAGACAUGGGGAGGGAGCAUAGUGUAAAAUAAAUUAAAUUGUGUUUAUUAGAUGAACCACUAUGAGCCGGCAAAAGAAAGCACGCUUCAGAUAUUCAAAGGAUUUAUCAUUGUGCCGUGUUUGGAGACGCAGCUGCCGCGUGGAGCCCGUGAUCCAGCUGUUGGUCUUGCGCAAUGUGUAAUCACAGUUACACUUACUGUCCAUUUUGUGUUGUAAGGUCCACAGGGAGUCUUGCAACAUGCUUCUGAGCGGUGCGUGUUUGGAUUGAGAUACAGCGUUUCUGUUCAAGACCAUAGUCGGCUGCAGGCUGUGGUGAAACUAAUCAGAAAGCUUCUUAUGUCUUCUUCCACUGAUACAACUGGAUUCUGGCCCAGUGUUUACUGAGUACGAUUCCUUAAACCGGAGUGACGGCAAAGGCCACCUCUCUCAAUGAAGUCCCCUCGGUUCCUGCUCGGCGAGAGCAGUCAGGCGGCGCCUCUUAUCGUACCAGUCCCGUCACGAUCGACCUCUAUACAUGUCCGCGUGUGCAUAUGCGAGGAUAAAAUGGGAUACGGAGCGGUCAGAGGCUCGGUUGGGCCAGGGUGACGGAAAGGGGGGGGACGGGCAUGCGGAUCCUUGGAGUGGUGUGACAGACUCCCCAGCCUCCUGGUAGGAU
ensembl:lncRNA